rnacentral:lncRNA from 1 species
UGUUUACCAAAAAAAAAGGGUUAAAUGAAAAUGACUCGCGCGGAUGUCGCAUCCACUGCAUACGUAUCUCAUUUGAAUAUGAGAAUCAAAGUCUUCGUAGCUCGGCUGACCUAUGGGUUGGGGGGAUGUGUGCUCGCUAAGACAUCGCGUCUUAUGCCUACGUAUCUCAUCUGGCCUGGGAAUCAGAGCAAAACGUAGUUCGGCUAACUACGGGGUUAUGGAUUGGGUUUUGGGCGAACGACGUCGCUACGCAAUCUACCGGAUGC